GACGAACGCUGGCGGCGUGCUUAACACAUGCAAGUCGAACGGAAAGGCCCUGCUUUUGUGGGGUGCUCGAGUGGCGAACGGGUGAGUAACACGUGAGUAACCUGCCCUUGACUUUGGGAUAACUUCAGGAAACUGGGGCUAAUACCGGAUAGGAGCUCCUGCUGCAUGGUGGGGGUUGGAAAGUUUCGGCGGUUGGGGAUGGACUCGCGGCUUAUCAGCUUGUGGGUGGGGUAGUGGCUUACCAAGGCUUUGACGGGUAGCCGGCCUGAGAGGGUGACCGGCCACAUUGGGACUGAGAUACGGCGCAGACUCCUACGGGAGGCAGCAGUGGGGAAUAUUGCACAAUGGGCGGAAGCCUGAUGCAGCAACGCCGCGUGCGGGAUGACGGCCUUCGGGUUGUAAACCGCUUUCGCCUGUGACGAAGCGUGAGUGACGGUAAUGGGUAAAGAAGCACCGGCUAACUACGUG
rnacentral:rRNA from 1 species